rnacentral:lncRNA from 1 species
GCUCCGGGGAGGGGCCGGAGGAGGAAGAAAGGCCCCGGUUAAAUAUAACAGAGGCACCUCCCUGCGGGUGACUGGGGGAGAGGGCUUUGCCCUGGGAACCAGUUCCUCCAGCUGCCCGGGUGGCCCCGGCCAGUCGGAGCGGAGCCAAGGCCGGGGGUUGGAUCUGGGGCUCCGGCGCUGGCGGAGGCUGCUGCCUGCGGGACGGAUAAGCGCUGGCUCCCCGCGCGGUGCCCGCCACGGUGUGGGGCACCUGUGCCCAGGGUUUUACCCCUGGGGGGGUGCCGGGAGCGGGUCCGGUGUAGCACGGUGCCGGGGGCGUGACGGCGGCGAGCGUCCUCCCCGGGGCGCGAGUUCCAGGCGGGACCGGCCGUGCCCGGAGCGAGCUGAGCGGGACCUCGUUGGGCUCCUGCGUCUUCCCACCCCGAACCCCGGUGCGUCUGGGGACGUCGCUGCCGCUGCCACCAUGACGUGCUCAGCGGCCGGGAACAGCCUCGCCGGCGAGUCCGAGGGCUCCGCGCUGGACUGCAUCAUCUGCUUCACCCGCUACGACCGCGUCUUCAAGGUGCCCAAGGCGCUGGCGUGCGGGCACACCUUCUGCCUCGAGUGCCUGGCCCGGCUCAGCGUCACCGCCGCCGCUGCCACCACCCUGCUCUGCCCCGUGUGCCGCCGGCCCACGGCUCUGCCGCGCCGCCGCGGCUGGCCCUGGCCCUCGCGCCGGCGGCCGCUCUGCAAAGCCGCGGCGCUGGCUUGCUCGCUGGUGGUCGUGGGGGGCUUGGCGCUCUGCAGCGUCUUCCUCUUCUUCCUCCUGCCCGCGGCGUGCGGAGCCGGCGUCCCCGCCGCCAACGGCACCUGCCAGGGGCAGCCCUGGGGUCCCUUGUACGACGAGCCCGACGCCACCGUCACCCCCCCGGCCGAAGGGGACGCCCGCGCCGCGGAGGCGGCCGGCGGAGGGUGGUUCUCCGGCGUCGUGGUGGCGCUGCGGGGGCCGGCGCCCCUCCAGCCCUGAUGUGUGUCCUCCGGGCAAUUACGGACUCUGAGCGUGUGGCUGUGUGGGGAGGUGUCCCAGGAUUUUGGGGGGAAGGGGGAGACCACCCCAAUGUUCCCCCUCCCCAUAUUAAACAGGUUGAUUUUUCUGCACGCCGACCGCGUCCCGGUGCAUCUUUUGCAAGCGCGAUGAGUGCGAUCCCCUUCUCCGUGCGCCCCAUGGGCUUUUGGGGUGUGAAUGAGGCGAAACACCCACCCCAACCCGGUGCCAGGACGCCUGGGUCCCGUGCUGGGGGUGGGAGGGUGCCCAAUCUUCCUCCUUCUGCUUGUACCCACGUAGGCUGGUUCUUCCUCCCCUUCCCCCCCCAUCCCCUGCCCCGCGGUGGUGCCUGGCACAACCGUCGCCUUCCCCAGCCCCUAUCACAACCGGCCCCGAUACCAGCGGGAGCCAGCCCAGCCUGGGGCCGUGAUGGUGUUUGUGUGUGCUUUGGGGGUGUGGGGCUUGUACCGGGCACUGCAAUAACCCUCCAUGGUUUUGUGGGUGCUGUAGAAAUGGGGAUGGGUGUUGCUCCAGAAACAACCAGACUGUUUUCUUGGGCUCGCUGUUACCCCAAACUCCAGGGCUGAGCACAACCCAAGGAGUUUUUACAUGCCGGGGAGGGAGGUUGUGACCUGGCUACAACCAUCCAGUGUUUUGGGGGUAGCUGGGGGUCUGAGCAAGGGCAGCAACCCCAGUGGGGGCUGGUGUGGGGGUUGCUUGCUUGAUUUUUUUUUUUUUUCAGGCUAAACAAGAUGACAGACAACUGAGAAUAACCAGAGUCUGGUUGUUCACUAAAGUGCGACUGUACAUAUGAGAAACCAGACCCUGUCAUAUACAACAGUCUGUGCGUACAGGACAGUAACCUGACCCAACGGAGCGGUACAUACACCUUGAUCAAACAUACAG